CUAUAGGUUUGGUACUCUGUCCACUGUCCCAUCCCAGCUGGGGCUCUGAGCUAGAAGACCAGACAAUUCUGAGAUAUCUUUGGGGUGACCCAACUCAGAAGACUCACUCCCCAACCCAAGUCUGCAAGGACCAACGCACAGGCCUGGGGGGCCGAGUGUCAUGGAUAUCAUAGGCAAGACUGUUGGUUCUACAUAUCUGAAAUCUGACUUAAAAGUGAUUUAAGCAGAAAGGAAUGAAUUGGCUCAAAUAAAGAAAAAGCCUUCAGGAAUAGCUGUAUCUAGGAGCCCAAUAUCUUCAGGGCUUUGUGUCUAUCUCUUGGCUUGCCUUUUCUCUUUGCUAGAGAUUCUUUGGCUGCCAACAGCACUAGCUUUCCAUCCAGGUAGACAGAGAACCAGGGGAGGGGCUGGUGGGCUCUCCAGAAUCAGGCAGAGCUCUCAAGUGGAGUCUCAAGGAAGACAUUCCGCCAACAAGGAAUGUUUGAUCUCAUUGAAGGGUCCACCCCCGGACCUUAACCAGUAUGCGGACAUGCCUCGUUCUUUGCAGGUGCCACAUCUGCCCCAUGCCUCAUCUUCAUCUUCCCUGCCAUCUUCUACUUCCGCAUCAUACCCACCGAGAGGGAGCCUGCAAAGUCUACCCCCAAAAUCCUGGCCCUUUGUUUCGCUGUGCUUGGCCUCUUGCUGAUGACCAUGAGCUUGAGCUUCAUCGUCAUUGACUGGGUGUCAGGGACCAGCCGGCAUGGAGGAAGCCACUAGGAGGAGACAUCCAUCCUGUUCUGACUACUCGUCCACGUACCCCUGCCCAGAGUCUUCAGCCCUCGCUCCCAUCUAGCCAAGGAGGAGGAGAAAGACGUGUUAACACUAUGGCAUUUGGCCCUGCCUCGCAUCCUCUCUGUGGAAGGUUUCUGUCAGAGCCAGGACCAACGCCCUAGAGCCACUCCCCUUCUGGGCUCCCGGGCUCCAGGGGCUGCCUGGGCUGAGAGCAGGGCAGGGCUGUACCCUUGCUCCCUCACUCCUGCCUCAGCUCCCACCCAAGCCUCUGUUCUCCUUUGCACAGAUGCGCACACGAGGCCCAGCAGCUGCCUCCCGAGGUCACACAGCCCGUAGGGCACGUAGAGCUGGAAACCAGGCCUGCAGCCAUCUCCCCACCGUGCUGCUGGGCCGUGGUCUGCACCCUGGGGCCUCAUCUCCCUCAGCUCACUCACCUCUUCCCACUUCUGUCCCUGAGGCCCCUUUCAGGCACUUGGACUCAGGCCCUUAGAUACUCUUGGCUCCUUCUCCCAUCCCCGUCACCAGAAGCAGACCAUUCCCCCCCACACCUGGAGCCAGCAGGUUCUUUUGAGUGUGAGGCUGGUGUGGGCACCCCCAAGGGACCCCUACCCUGUCCCUUCACCAGUCCUGGGGAGGCUGGGACUCCCCCCACCCCAAGCCUGGGCCAUAGCUCACAUUCCACUUCUGGGAGAAGAAAGAGUCUGGGGCCCGGAGUGUCUCUGUCCCCUGGGAGCCAAAGACCCCAGGGGCUGGUCUGGGGCAGGAGUGGAGAGGUGGUGGGCCCCCUUUUAUAAAUAUUAUACAUAAGACCAGC